rnacentral:lncRNA from 1 species
GCCUACCUCAACAUGCGGCACUACGGGCAGCAAGGGAUGGGCGCAAGUGCCAGCGAAUACCAGACACCCUGAAGCCGGUGGAUGAUCAUCUCGACAUGUUCCUUGUGGUGCCAGCAACACUUGCACCGCUGGUGUGGCAUUCUUUGCACGCUAUGCUGGGAUAGUUUUUUAGGAGUGCCAUGUCUGGACAGCUUAUUCAGAAGCAGGCUGUCGUCGUCGAGAUCCAUGCUUUUUUUUUAACGGAUGAUGUUGCAGUGCCCACAUGGGCACUACAGAUUUGCAGCCUACAGGCAGUGUGCCCUGUGGCUGUGGAGCCGCUUGGGAAAGAAGAAUAGGCGGCCCCUGCCAUCCUGUGUGGUCAAGACAAUUAGGGGCAGGUACCCUGCUGACGUGUAUGCGGGCUACAAGGAUGCAGAAUAAAUUGCGUUGACCUAGAGACCACGCAACCCCCUUCCCUUGUCUCUUCACCCUCCCUGCAUGUGUGUGAAGUCGCUCGUAGCCAUGAACGGAAUCCUCUAAAUCACGUGACCUAUUAUCUACGAUAUCACGUGACCAUAACUAUGAUCACAUGAUCGUAGUCAAACC